UACAGAGGUCUCAAGCGUUGUUCGGAUUCACUGGGUUUAAAGGGUGUGUAGGCGGGCUAUUAAGUCAGUGGUGAAAUCUCCGGGCUCAACCCGGAAACUGCCAUUGAUACUAUUAGUCUUGAAUUCUGUUGAGGUAGGCGGAAUAUAUCAUGUAGCGGUGAAAUGCAUAGAUAUGAUAUAGAACACCGAUUGCGAAGGCAGCUUACUAAGCAGAUAUUGACGCUGAGGCACGAAAGCGUGGGGAUCAAACAGG
rnacentral:rRNA from 1 species